rnacentral:tRNA from 3 species
GCACGUUAGUCCGACCGGUGAGGGCCUCGCCUGAUAAGCGAGUGGCAGUUGGUUCGAUUCCAGCAGCGUGCACCA